rnacentral:lncRNA from 1 species
AAUAAAUAAAUAGAAGAAAAAGUAACAAAAGUUAUCGAUAGAAAUUUAAUUUGAAGUUUCUAAAUCUAAAAAAAUGAAGAAAAAAUUAAAAAAUGAAAACUUUUAUAAAAUAAUGUCAAAUAUGAAUAUGAAUGAAUAUGAAUAUCGAUCAAUAAGAAUUCCAACAUUAUCUUGAAUAAAAAUAAAAAAUCCAAAUCCAAAUUCGAAAAAGAUUUCAAUUCAAAAAUCAAAAUGUAUAUCCGAAUCUUACGGUAGAAUUCUAAUUCACAUCUGACAAUUUUCGUAUUGAUAGUUGGGUUGGUAGUAUCCGAUCGAUCUAUCCGCUAAACUCUUUUAUUUAGGCUCGGCUACUAUAUAUUGAUAGUACAAAGCAUUUGGUAUUAUCGAAUUUGCUGCCAUUAAAUUUAUCUCUUUUAUAAUUUUUAUCCGUUCAAUUAACCACCAACUCAACCCAAGGGAACCCAUAUCAUUCUAACCGCACAUCUUUUAAUCCAACGAUAGAAAACCUAAUAGCACCAAGUCAUUAGUGCUAUUAAUAGUAUUCCAGCCUAGUUCUCUCUCUCUCUCUCUCUAUAUAUAUAUAUAGAGUCCGGCUACUAUACUCUUAUGAGUACGAUCGCCCUCGUGUUCUCAUAAGUUGUUUUCGAUGAUAGAGCUUCCGAAUCGACGAUCCACACCGUUAAAUAUUAUCUAGUGUAUUUAAAACUUCUAGAAAUCAAAUUUCAUAAUUUUUCGACAUCAUUUACCUUACGAUCAAAAGCUCACAAAACUGACAAUUUUUAACGGCCGGUAUGA